UGGCUCAGUGGUAGAGCUCUAGCCUUGCAUGCCAGAGGCCCUGGGUUCAAUUCCUCAG
rnacentral:tRNA from 1 species